rnacentral:rRNA from 1 species
AUUGAACGCUGGCGGCAUGCCUUACACAUGCAAGUCGAACGGCAGCACGGGAGCAAUCCUGGUGGCGAGUGGCGAACGGGUGAGUAAUAUAUCGGAACGUGCCCAGUCGUGGGGAUAACGUAGCGAAAGCUACGCUAAUACCGCAUACGAUCUAUGGAUGAAAGCGGGGGAUCGCAAGACCUCGCGCGAUUGGAGCGGCCGAUAUCAGAUUAGGUAGUUGGUGAGGUAAAGGCUCACCAAGCCGACGAUCUGUAGCUGGUCUGAGAGGACGACCAGCCACACUGGGACUGAGACACGGCCCAGACUCCUACGGAGGCAGCAGUGGGGAAUUUUGGGACAAUGGGCGCAAGCCUGAUCCAGCAAUGCCGCGUGCAGGAUGAAGGCCU